rnacentral:rRNA from 1 species
CCUACGGGAGGCAGCAGUGAGGAAUAUUGGUCAAUGGACGAGAGUCUGAACCAGCCAAGUAGCGUGAAGGAUGACUGCCCUAUGGGUUGUAAACUUCUUUUAUAUGGGAAUAACAUGUUCCACGUGUGGGAUUUUGUAUGUACCAUAUGAAUAAGGAUCGGCUAACUCCGUUCCAGCAGCCGCGGUAAUAGGGAGGAGCCGAACGUUAUCCGGAUUUAUUGGGUUUAAAGGGAGCGUAGGUGGAUUGUUAAGUCAGUGGUGAAAGUUUGGGGCGCAACCGUAAAAUUGCAGUUGAAACUGGCAGUCUUGAGUACAGUAGAGGUGGGCGGAAUUCGGGGUGUAGCGGUGAAAUGCUUAGAUAUCACGAAGAAAUCCGAUUGGGAAGGCAGCUCACUGACUGUAACUGACACUGAGGCUCGAAAGUGUGGGUAUCAAACAGGAUUAGAUACCCUUGUAGUC